GCGGAUGUGGCGGAAUUGGUAUACGCGCACGCUUGAGGGGCGUGUGGGCAAUGCUCUUGCGAGUUCGAGUCUCGCCAUCCGCA
rnacentral:tRNA from 7 species